rnacentral:rRNA from 1 species
AAACGUAGGAGGCGAGCGUUAUCCGGAUUUACUGGGCGUAAAGCGCGUGCAGGCGGCACGGCAAGUUGGAUGUGAAAGCUCCCGGCUUAACUGGGAGAGGUCGUUCAAAACUGCCGAGCUAGAGUGCGGGAGAGGGAGGUGGAAUUCCGGGUGUAGUGGUGAAAUGCGUAGAUAUCCGGAGGAACACCAGUGGCGAAAGCGGCCUCCUGGUCCGCAACUGACGCUCAGACGCGAAAGCUAGGGUGGCAAGCGGGAUUAGAGACCCCCAGUAGUCCUAGCUGUAAACGAUGUAGACUUGGCGUUGGUGGGUUCAAAUCCAUCAGUGCCGGAGCAAACGCGUUAAGUCUACCGCCUGGGGACUACGGCCGCAAGGUUAAA